UACGUAGGGGGCAAGCGUUGUCCGGAAUCAUUGGGCGUAAAGAGCGUGUAGGCGGUCCGGUAAGUCCGCUGUAAAAGUCCAGGGCUCAACCCUGGAAAGCCGGUGGAUACUGCCGGGCUAGAGUCCGGAAGAGGCGAGUGGAAUUCCUGGUGUAGCGGUGAAAUGCGCAGAUAUCAGGAGGAACACCGGUGGCGAAGGCGGCUACCUGGACCGGUACUGACGCUGAUGCGCGAAAGCUAGGGUAGCAAACAGG
rnacentral:rRNA from 1 species